rnacentral:tRNA from 2 species
GGGGCGUUCGCGCUCGGGCUCGCAGCGCGCUCCGCCGAUCAACUGGCGAUUCCAGGUUCGAGUCCUGGGUGCCCCG